rnacentral:tRNA from 1 species
CAUUAGGUAGUUAAUAUGAAAAUAUGGACUUUGGAGGUCCAAGAAACUUUGUUUAGUCCUUUUGA